rnacentral:rRNA from 1 species
GCUGGUUAUUCAAGAAAGGGAUUUUAGUCCAAUUUUAACUCUUUAACUAACAUCAAGUAUAUCCAUAGAUUUAAAAUUUACUCAAAUAGGGUACAGCCUGUUUGAGACAGGAUACAACCUUCCAUAGAGGGUAAUGUUCUAACAAAUAUGACCAAGUAGGCCUAAAAGCAGCCACCUUUUAAAAAGCGUUAAAGCCUCACCAUACCAAUUAUAAAUACCAACCUUAAUCCAAACCCCCUCAAUCCUAUUGAAUGACUUCAUAUCUAUAUGAAAGCCCUUAUGUCAGAACUAGUAACAAGAAUAACUUCUCCCAUAAAUGUAAGUGUAAGCCGAAAUGGACUACCCAUCGACACUCACCGCCAAUGAGCCCAUAGUAAUAACCUACAAGAAAAUUUUACUCCCAACAGCGUUAAUCUUACACAAGAACUUUUCUGGAAAGAUUAAAAAAUGAGGAAGGAACUCGGCAAACAUCAACCCCGCCUG